rnacentral:rRNA from 1 species
GAUGAACGCUGACAGAAUGCUUAACACAUCAGCAAUUGAUUGGUGGCGGACGGGUGCGUAACGCUUAAAGACCUUGCCUCCCAGGUAGGUACAACAUUUGGAACCUAAUGCUAAUACCUAAUACUGUGAGAGAGCUUUGCGUCCCAGUAUCGAGUUGGAGAGGUAACGGCUCACCACGGCGAUGAUGGGUAGCCGCCCUGUGAGGGUGAUCGGCCAAAAGGGGAAUGAGACACGGCAGUUACGCCUACGGGAGGCAGCAGUGGGGAAUAGUGGAGAAUGGACCAAAGUCGGAUCCAGCAAUUGUGUGUGAACGAUGAAUUUUUCGGAAGGUAAAGUGCUGUCAGUGGGGAAGCGGUACCAAAAGAAGAAGUGACGGCUAAAUACGUGCCAGCCGCCGCGGUAAUAC